rnacentral:rRNA from 1 species
CGUGCAGGCGGUGGUGUAAGUCGUGUGUGAAAGCGCCCAGGCUCAACCGGGCGAGGACGGACGAAACUGCAUCACUAGAGGCAGGUAGAGGCGUGCGGAAUUCCGGGUGUAGUGGUGAAAUGCGUAGAUAUCCGGAGGAACACCAGUGGCGAAGGCGGCGCGCUGGACCUGACCUGACGCUAAGACGCGAAAGCAUGGGUAGCGAACG